GAUCCCGGAUCAGAGACUUCAGCCACUCGCAGAACUGGAAGAAGGGGAGAUAACAUUGAUAAAUAAAGCAAUAUUUUAAAAGAUGAGUUAACUGUCAAAUAAAACAGAGGAAAGCUGUAUAUCUUUAAAUUAGAGAAACUAGACUGAAUGUAUUUAUAUUGAUAAACAACCUGAACACUUAUUCUGAAAAUCAAUAUUGGGGCAAAAACUGCUGUCUGGCGUCCGCCGUGAUGAGAAGGUCGUAACGUUGUGAUGAGAAGGUCGUAACGUUGUGAUGAGAAGGUCGUAACGUUGUGAUGAGAAGGUCGUAACGUUGUGAUCAGAAGGUCGUAACGUUGUGAUGAGAAGGUCGUAACGUUGUGAUGAGAAGGUCGUAACGUUGUGAUCAGAAGGUCGUAACGUUGUGAUCAAAAGGUCGUAACGUUGUGAUCAGAAGGUUGUAACGUUGUGAUCAGAAGGUUGUAACGUUGUGAUCAGAAGGUCGUAACGUUGUGAUCAGAAGGUUGUAACGUUGUGAUCAGAAGGUUGUAACGUUGUGAUCAGAAGGUUGUAACGUUGUGAUCAAAAGGUCGUAACGUUGUGAUCAGAAGGUCGUAACGUUGUGAUCAGAAGGUCGUAACGUUGUGAUCAGAAGGUCGUAACGUUGUGAUCAGAAGGUCGUAACGUUGUGAUGAGAAGGUCGUAACGUUGUGAUGAGAAGGUUGUAACGUUGUGAUCAGAAGGUCGUAACGUUGUGAUGAGAAGGUUAUAACGUUGUGAUCAGAAGGUCGUAACGUUGUGAUCAGAAGGUCGUAACGUUGUGAUGAGAAGGUCGUAACGUGAUCAGAAGGUCGUAACGUUGUGAUGAGAAGGUCGUAACGUGAUCAGAAGGUUGUAACGUUGUGAUGAGAAGGUCAUAACGUUGUGAUGAGAAGGUCGUAACGUGGUGAUCAGAAGGUCGUAACGUUGUGAUCAGAAGGUCGUAACGUUGUGAUGAGAAGGUCGUAACGUUGUGAUCAAAAGGUCGUAACGUGGUGAUCAGAAGGUUGUAACGUUGUGAUCAGAAGGUCGUAACAUGAUCAGAAGGUCGUAACGUUGUGAUGAGAAGGUUGUAACGUUGUGAUGAGAAGGUCGUAACAUGAUCAGAAGGUCGUAACGUUGUGAUGAGAAGGUUAUAACGUUGUGAUCAGAAGGUCGUAACGUUGUGAUCAGAAGGUCGUAACGUUGUGAUGAGAAGGUCGUAACGUGAUCAGAAGGUCGUAACGUUGUGAUGAGAAGGUCGUAACGUGAUCAGAAGGUUGUAACGUUGUGAUGAGAAGGUCAUAACGUUGUGAUGAGAAGGUCGUAACGUGGUGAUCAGAAGGUCGUAACGUUGUGAUCAGAAGGUCGUAACGUUGUGAUGAGAAGGUCGUAACGUUGUGAUCAAAAGGUCGUAACGUGGUGAUCAGAAGGUUGUAACGUUGUGAUCAGAAGGUCGUAACAUGAUCAGAAGGUUGUAACGUUGUGAUCAGAAGGUUGUAACGUUGUGAUGAGAAGGUCGUAAAGUUGUGAUCAGAAGGUCGUAACGUUGUGAUCAGAAGGUCGUAACGUUGUGAUGAGAAGGUUGUAACGUGAUCAGAAGGUUGUAACGUGAUCAGAAGGUCGUAACGUGGUCAGAAGGUUGUAACGUUGUGAUCAGAAGGUCGUAACGUUGUGAUGAGAAGGUUGUAACGUGAUCAGAAGGUUGUAACGUGAUCAGAAGGUCGUAACGUGGUCAGAAGGUUGUAACGUUGUGAUCAGAAGGUUGUAACGUUGUGAUCAGAAGGUCGUAACGUGCUGAUCAGAAGGUCGUAACGUUGUGAUCAGAAGGUUGUAACGUUGUGGUGUUUCUCUCCACGUCUCCUCGUGGUGUUUAAGUAGCUCUGCUUCUACUAUCAGUGCUCUGCUGUUGGGAGAAGCUCAUUGUCUCAAGUCAACAUUCAUUGAGAGACCAGAUGAAAUGUUUCGGUUCAAUCUGUAUUUUCUGGCGUUAAGCUUUCAGAAACGUGUUUUCACUGCACAUGAAAGGGUUCCACGCCUUCAUGUCCCCCGACUUGGUUUAAAGCGGAUCCACCGUGAUCAGGUUCUCUAUCGGUCUGCAGAACCCACCUCCAGGGGGCCACAGCUUACUUUGGCCCCCUGGAGGUUUAAUCCGGCCCUGUUGGGGGUCAGUUGAAGUGAUCUUGCAACGGCACAUGUCUAUGUGACCUCUUUCCUUUCCUUUCCUCCCCUCUCUCUUCUUGUGGCCUCUUUCCUUUCCUUUCUUCUCUCCUCUUGUGACUUCUUUCCUUUCAUUUACUCUCU